rnacentral:rRNA from 1 species
GACGAACGCUGGCGGCGUGCUUAACACAUGCAAGUCGAACGGAAAGGCCCUGCUUUUGUGGGGUGCUCGAGUGGCGAACGGGUGAGUAACACGUGAGUAACCUGCCCUUGUCUUUGGGAUAACUUCAGGGAACUGGGGCUAAUACCGGAUAGGAGCUCCUGCUGCACGGGGGGGGUUGGAAAGUUUCGGCGGUGGGGGAUGGUUGGGCGGCUUAUGAGCUUGUUGGGGGAGUAGGGGCUUCCCAGGGGUUUGACGGGUAGCCCGCAUUGGAGGGUUGCCGGGGACAUGGGGACUACGAUACGGACCAGAAUCCAACGGGAGGCAGUAGUGGAAAAUAUUGCGGAAUGAGCGGAAGCCAGAUGCAGCAAUGUCGGGUGCGUGAUGCUGGCUUUCGGGUGGUAAACAGCUUUCGCAUGUGACGAAGAGUGAGUGACGGUAAUGGGUAAAGAAGCACCGGCUAACUACGUG